UACGUAGGGGGCUAGCGUUGUCCGGAAUCAUUGGGCGUAAAGCGCGUGUAGGCGGUCCGGUAAGUCCGCUGUGAAAGUCGGGGGCUCAACCCUCGGAUGCCGGUGGAUACUGUCGGGCUUGAGUACGGAAGAGGCGAGUGGAAUUCCUGGUGUAGCGGUGAAAUGCGCAGAUAUCAGGAGGAACACCAACUGCGAAGGCAGCUCGCUGGGACGUUACUGACGCUGAGACGCGAAAGCGUGGGGAGCAAACAGG
rnacentral:rRNA from 1 species